GACAGAGGGUGCAAACGUUGUUCGGAAUUACUGGGCGUAAAGCGCGUGUAGGCGGCCGUGCAAGUCGGAUGUGAAAGCCCUGGGCUCAACCUAGGAAGUGCACUCGAAACUGCAUGGCUGGAGUUCUGGAGAGGAAGGCGGAAUUCCAGGUGUAGCGGUGAAAUGCGUAGAUAUCAGGAGGAACACCGGUGGCGAAGGCGGGUCUCUGGGCCGAUACUGACGCUGAGGAGCGAAAGCGUGGGGAGCGAACAGG
rnacentral:rRNA from 1 species